rnacentral:rRNA from 1 species
ACUCAAAUGAAUUGACGGGGGCCCGCACAAGCAGCGGAGCGUGUGGUUUAAUUCGAUGCAACGCGCAGAACCUUACCUAGGCUUGACAUAGCGGCAGUAGAACCCGGAAACGGGGACGACUCGUUGAGGCGAGCACCGCUACAGAUGCUGCAUGGCUGUCGUCAGCUCGUGCCGUGAGGUGUUGGGUUAAGUCCCGCAACGAGCGCAACCCUCGUCGCCAGUUGCCUUUUCUGGCGAGACCGCCGGGUGCAACCCGGAGGAAGGUGGGGAUGACGUCAAGUCAGCACGGCUCUUACGUCUAGGGCUACACACACGCUACAAUGGCCGGUACAACGGGCAGCGAAGGGGCGACCCGGAGCCAAUCCCACCAAAGCCGGUCUCAGUGGGGAUCGGAGGCUGCAACUCGCCUCCGUGAACGCGGAGUUGCUAGUAACCGCGGGUCAGCACACCGCGGUGAAUACGUUCCCGGGCCUUGUACACACCGCCCGU